AACUUCGUUUGAGACGCAAGUCAUCUCUAUCGAUAGUGUCAUUAUAUGGCUUUCUUUCACCAAAUUGUUGGUUUUGUCUUGUCAACGUCCGUCGUCUACUCUCGCAGACAACGAAGACGGAUGACUCAAGGGGACCUAGUCUCGGUCACCUGAUCUCGAGUGAUUUUCUCCCUUCAGACAUUGAUAUGAGACGUUCUUUUUGGCUAAUGUUAGAGUCAUCACCGCUGGCUAAAAUACCUAUGGAGUGAUGUUAGUGCCCAUCGUACUGUUGCUACAGCAGCACGUGAAAUCUGAGAGACAAAUACUCUGACAUCCGGGAUCAUGUCUCGGUCGGUCGUUUUCAUCGCGUUUCUACAAGACAAAUUGAGACCCGAGCUGUGAGAAAGGUGAUGGCCGACAUAGACAGAACAUAGUAUAAUCUCGGUCACAGCUAUGAACACACUCCUAGGGUUGUACAGCUUUCAGUCUUGCAGGUCUUCAACGUAUGCAGAGUCACCAGAAUAUGUGAUACUAUACUUUUCGCCAUUUGUUAUGGCCCGACUAACCAAACAAAUCCUUGACCAUGCUACUUGUGAAACCGUUUAAAGUGUGGCAGUAGUCUCAAGCAUGACACCUCAACCGACUAAGGAGGAAUGUGACAAAAUUUCAAGAAAUUUGAUCAAUCAGCAUCCAUUCCCUAGAGAUGACAAUGGAUCUG